rnacentral:rRNA from 1 species
GAUGAACGCUGGCGGCGUGCCUAAUACAUGCAAGUCGAGCGAACGGACGAGAAGCUUGCUUCUCUGAUGUUAGCGGCGGACGGGUGAGUAACACGUGGAUAACCUACCUAUAAGACUGGGAUAACUUCGGGAAACCGGAGCUAAUACCGGAUAAUAUUUUGAACCGCAUGGUUCAAAAGUGAAAGACGGUCUUGCUGUCACUUAUAGAUGGAUCCGCGCUGCAUUAGCUAGUUGGUAAGGUAACGGCUUACCAAGGCAACGAUGCAUAGCCGACCUGAGAGGGUGAUCGGCCACACUGGAACUGAGACACGGUCCAGACUCCUACGGGAGGCAGCAGUAGGGAAUCUUCCGCAAUGGGCGAAAGCCUGACGGAGCAACGCCGCGUCAGUGAUGAAGGUCUUCGGAUCGUAAAACUCUGUUAUUAGGGAAGAACAUAUGUGUAAGUAACUGUGCACAGCUUGACGGUACCUAAUCAGAAAGCCACGGCUAACUACGUG